rnacentral:tRNA from 1 species
GGCCAGGUAGCUCAGUUGGUAGAGCAGCGGACUGAAAAUCCGCGUGUCGCUGGUUCGAUUCCGGCCCUGGCCACCA